AAUACGAGUAACAUGAUGAUCCGGUGAUAAGAACACGGAUCUUGGUGGGCUAGGUCAGCCAUAUACGGAUGAAUGAAUGGGCACCCCCUCCUUUGUUCUUUUUCUCUCGCCGCUUUAACGCUAGGGUUUGUUUCAUUUUUCUGUUCACCAUUCAUCUCUCGAACCAUUCACUUUCUCUAUCAAUUCUUCCCCAAAUGAUUAGGGUUUGGUCUCUACCAUGCUUCGGUCGUCCUUUAACCGGUGUACAAUUGACUUUCUCCGGUUGAAUGUUUGUUAUACAACCGGUGGUCGAUGUACUCGGUUGAAUCGCCUACUGCAUGAUCAUUUUUCUGCCUUUUUUAAAUGUUCCGCCUAAGGAGGCAAUGUUUGCUCACAACUGAUGUAGGUUUAGUCAAAGAAUCCAACUGAAGUUCUAGCAACUCCAGCCUGUGGAUGCUUGAUAUCGAUCUUCGACGCAACAGUUGAUUAUCUUAAAUGACGGCAGCCCGCUGGCGGUGGGAGUCACGUUGUUUUACUUAUGAACGCCAGGAGGCCCAAAUGGAUCAACUGCGAAUUCAUGGAAAAGUAGAAGCAUGGAUUAAACAUUUGUUUUGAGAGGAGACGGCAACUGCGUGUCUUGAGAACAGAAUAAGGUCAAAUCGGAAACUGUGAGCCUAAGCCUCCAAAUCGGUUUUAAGGUUCUAAAAUUCACAUUUUUUUGUUUACUGUUUUAAAAUUCACGUUUUUUGUUUACAGGUGUAAAUUUGUUCAAAUAGAUAUUUGUAAUCUUAUGGUUUAUGUUUCCAAUUAAAUUUCCACUUGUUUAGGUCAGUUAUUUUAUGUGGAUUGUGGGCUUUAUGUUUGUAUUUAAAACAUACGUUAUGUUAUAGAUCGUGGGGUAUAUUUUUUCCCAAAAUUUAGGAUGAGAAAGUCAAAGUGAGAACCAAAAAAACCUCCCCAUGUUUUUCUGAA